GUAGGUGGCAAGCGUUGUCCGGAAUUAUUGGGCGUAAAGCGCGCGCAGGUGGUUCUUUAAGUCUGAUGUGAAAGCCCCCGGGCUCAACCGGGGAGGGUCAUUGGAAACUGGGGAACUUGAGUGCAGGAGAGGAAAGUGGAAUUCCACGUGUAGCGGUGAAAUGCGUAGAUAUGUGGAGGAACACCAGUGGCGAAGGCGACUUUCUGGCCUGUAACUGACACUGAGGCGCGAAAGCGUGGGGAGCAAACAGGAUUAGAUACCCUGGUAGUCCACGCCGUAAACGAUGAGUGCUGAGUGUUGGGGGGUUUCCGCCCCUCAGUGCUGCAGCUAACGCAUUAAGCACUCCGCCUGGGGAGUACGGUCGCAAGACUG
rnacentral:rRNA from 1 species